CGGAAGUAAAAAAUCGUAACAAGGUUUCCGUAGGUGAACCUGCGGAAGGAUCAUUACUGAGUGAGGGCCCUCUGGGUCCAACCUCCCACCCGUGUUUAUUUGUACCUUGUUGCUUCGGCAGGCCCGCCUCACGGCCGCCGGGGGGCUUCUGCCCCCGGGCCCGCGCCUGCCGGAGACAAUCUUGAACGCUGUCUGAAGAAUGCAGUCUGAGCGAUUAGCAAAAUUAGUUAAAACUUUCAACAACGGAUCUCUUGGUUCCGGCAUCGAUGAAGAACGCAGCGAAAUGCGAUAAUUAAUGUGAAUUGCAGAAUUCAGUGAAUCAUCGAGUCUUUGAACGCACAUUGCGCCCCCUGGUAUUCCGGGGGGCAUGCCUGUCCGAGCGUCAUUGCUGCCCUCAAGCCCGGCUUGUGUGUUGGGCCUUGCUCCCCCGGGGGCAGGCCCGAAAGGCAGUGGCGGCACCGCGUCCGAUCCUCGAGCGUAUGGGGCUUUGUCACCCGCUCUGUAGGCCCGGCCGGCGCUUGCCGACCCCCAUCAAUCUUUUUCAGGUGACCUCGGAUCAGGUACGAUCCACG
rnacentral:rRNA from 1 species